AGAUUCGUCCAAAAUCUGCAAAUCGUGUAAGUGACGGAUUGGGUGAUUCACGAUCAUCUCGACCUGAGCGAGAAAAGCUUUAUCCUGCUCACAAGAAUCCAAUAUCAUUCAAUAAAAAAAAUGUGAAUGAGAAAUUGCACGGCACGUCUACUAACAAAGUUGGAAAGCAUAUUAUUACUGUGCCACUCAAACAGAAGUCCAUAUCAAAAUCAAACAACCAAAACAAACUAAUAAAUCUCCCCGACCAGGACACUAUAAAGAAAUACGAAGAUUUAGAAAUAAAACAAGAUUUUUCCGAUACAAGCACCUUGUGCAAUGAAAUAGAAGACGUUUUCGUGGAGUACG